GAUGAACGCUGGGGUCGUGCCUAACACAUGCAAGUCGAGCGAUUCUCUCCGGAGAAGAGCGGCGGACGGGUGAGUAACGAGUGGGUAACCUGCCCUGUACACACGGAUAACAUACCGAAAGGUAUACUAAUACGAGAUAAUAUGCGUUAAUCGCAUGGUAGCACUAUUAAAGCUCCGGCGGUACAGGAUGGACCCGCGUCUGAUUAGCUAGUUGGUAAGGUAACGGCUUACCAAGGCGACGAUCAGUAGCCGACCUGAGAGGGUGAUCGGCCACAUUGGAACUGAGACACGGUCCAAACUACUACGGGAGGCAGCAGUGGGGAAUAUUGCACAAUGGGCGAAAGCCUGAUGCAGCAACGCCGCGUGAGCGAUGAAGGCCUUCGGGUCGUAAAGCUCUGUCCUCAAGGAAGAUAAUGACGGUACUUGAGGAGGAAGCCCCGGCUAACUACGUGCCAGCCGCCGCGGUAACAC
rnacentral:rRNA from 1 species